GUGGAGAAUGGGGGGAGGGGCAUACAGGGCUCCAUGAGCUGCACUUUAACUGUAAAAAAGCCACAUGCAGCUCAGGAGCCACUGUUUGGCCACUCCUGAUAUACAGUGUU